rnacentral:rRNA from 1 species
GAUGAACGCUAGCGGCAGGCCUAACACAUGCAAGUCGAGGGGUAGCAGGAUUAAGCUUGCUUAAUUGCUGACGACCGGCGCACGGGUGCGUAACGCGUAUGCAACCUACCUUAUACUGGGGUAUAGCCCGGAGAAAUUCGGAUUAAUCCCCCAUAGUACUAAUGAAUCGCAUGGUUUAUUAGUUAAAGCAUUGCGGUAUAAGAUGGGCAUGCGUCCUAUUAGCUAGAUGGUGAGGUAACGGCUCACCAUGGCUACGAUAGGUAGGGGGCCUGUGAGGGUGGAACCCGACACUGGUACUGAUGCACGGACCAGACACCUACGGGAAGCAGCAGUGAGGAAUAUUGGUCAAUGGGCGCAAUCCUGAACCAGCCAUGCCGCGUGCAGGAAGAAUGCCCUAUGGGUUGUAAACUGCUUUUAUUUAGGAAUAAACCUCUUUACGUGUAGAGAGCUGAAGGUACCAAAUGAAUAAGCACCGGCUAACUCCGUGCCAGCCGCCGCGGUAA